rnacentral:rRNA from 1 species
UACGUAGGGUGCAAGCGUUAAUCGGAAUUACUGGGCGUAAAGCGUGCGCAGGUGGUCAUGCAAGACAGAUGUGAAAUCCCCAGGCUCAACCUGGGAACUGCAUUUGAAACUCCCUUUCUUGAGUAUCGGAGAGGAAAGCGGAAUUCCUGGUGUAGAGGUGAAAUUCGUAGAUAUCAGGAGGAACACCAGUGGCGAAGGCGGCUUUCUGGACGGUUACUGACGCUGAGACGCGAAAGCGUGGGGAGCAAACAGG